rnacentral:rRNA from 1 species
GAUGAACGCUGGCGGCGUGCUUAACACAUGCAAGUCGAACGAAGCAUUUAAGACAGAUUACUUCGGUUUGAAGUCUUUUAUGACUGAGUGGCGGACGGGUGAGUAACGCGUGGGUAACCUGCCUCAUACAGGGGGAUAGCAGCUGGAAACGGCUGGUAAUACCGCAUAAGCGCACAGUACCACAUGGUACAGUGUGAAAAACUCCGGUGGUAUGAGAUGGACCCGCGUCUGAUUAGCUUGUUGGCGGGGUAACGGCCCACCAAGGCGACGAUCAGUAGCCGACCUGAGAGGGUGACCGGCCACAUUGGGACUGAGACACGGCCCAGACUCCUACGGGAGGCAGCAGUGGGGAAUAUUGCACAAUGGAGGAAACUCUGAUGCAGCGACGCCGCGUGAGUGAAGAAGUAGUUCGCUAUGUAAAGCUCUAUCAGCAGGGAAGAUAGUGGCGGUACCUGACUAAGAAGCUCCGGCUAAAUACGUG